rnacentral:misc_RNA from 1 species
AUUAUUCAUUCGUUAAAAUUUAUUUAACCCCUUAAUGUCUCAAAUAAUGACAUUGUAUUACAUUUUAAAAAAAGUAAGGUUGAACUAGAACUGGACCCAAAACGGGGUCUAAUUUUGUUGAAUUGGGACCCAACUAGAAUUGUAACCACUUUAGAAUUGGACCGGAACCUGCUUGGAGCUGGAAUGGGUUGGAAAUAGACUAAUCCAGUUUGAUUCUAAUUUAAAUUGGUUGGAGGGUGUGAUUUGUAAGUUAUGGCCUGGAACUGGCCUGGAAUCGAACCGAUGGCCAAGAAAUGCCCAUAGUUAAAGGUGCACCUGAGGUGAGGGGUGUACAGAGUGUGGGAAACGUUGCCUAAAACCUAGGAAGGCAGGCGACCUCACUGGGGUGCCCCAGGCCUUAGUGAGGCCAACUUCUUUGUAGACAGCUGGGAGGAAACAAUAGCAACAAGGUAGCAAUGAACCCAAAAUGAGAAGAUGGAUGUAGCCUCGAAUCUAAGGUCCUUCCAAAUUAAUUCUAGAAGACUCAAGGGAGGGAAUAACGAAAUGGGAGUCGAAGCAUGUGAUGUGUGAGCUAUACCAAUUGGAGUUAGUUGAGAGGGAAGAGCAUAAAUAGUAGUAGUGUUGGGAAUAAAGGGUAGGUUGGGUGUGGUUUUAAUUACUGGGUUUCCAGUGGGCGACUAUCUUUUGCACGAGAAUUUUCUUGGGGGCUUAUAGUGGUCAUUUUGAAUUGUUAUUUGGUUAUUUCGUUUGUACUACUUGACAAAAUUGAAUUAGCAGAGUAUCUCUGGUUUUGAUUUUAAUCCUUCUUGUACUGCUGUCAUUAUCAGUAAUACAAAUUAGUUUUCUUUUUUCAAUUUCUUUUGUUUGAUAUAUUUUAUCUGGUUGUGUUAUGGACGUAUUGUGGGACCCUUCGCAAAGCUGAUUGAACGUUUGAGAUGUACUUUCUAUUAUUAUUGGAGAUUAAUUCUUGUUUUAAUUAAGAG